CAAUUCAGCUCCAACACCACAGCAAGGAGCUUUAGGACGGCCAGCUCCAGCACAGCCAUGGCCAACUCGGUCAUGGCUGCUCAGCUCCAGCUCUCAACCACGGCUUCCCAGCUCCAACUCCAGCACAACACAGCUCUGCCAUGGCCGCCCAGCUCCAGCUCUCAACCAUGGCUUUGCAGCUCCAACUCUAGCACAGCCAUGGCUGCCCAGUUCCAGUGAAAUACAUGCCCGGGGAUUUCUGGAUGAGACCCAGAUCUGGAGUGCGGCCAACCACACCAGUAUUCCAAUCCAGGUAUGGCGUUCUCUGAAAUCUGUGUGUUUCUAUGGUGCUGUUCAUUUCUAGAGCCUACAUUUAUGUUCUUGAGAAAUUUUCUAGGCAAUGUGUGUCUUGACUAAGGUGGAGUUCUUUAGCUCCAGCUCUUCCCAGCUCCUGGGGACAAUGCAGCAGAUUUGCCUAGGGUUUAACAUAAACCAUAGGAAUAUUCCAAGAAUAUUCUAUAGCCUGUGGGAUUUAAGGCUGUAAUGCAUUAAGGGUUGGGAGAUUGGAUUAGGGUUCGCUCUCUUGUUUGUUUCAUUAGUAUCGAAGUAGCAUGUUCUUUUGGGGAUGGCAAAUGAGUGAGAUAUUAAUCCUGAUGAAGAGUAUGGCAUUAAUGAUGAUGGCCAUAACAAUGAGG
rnacentral:lncRNA from 1 species